rnacentral:snoRNA from 1 species
ACCCUCUAGAUUCCUUACCCCUCAGAUCUAAACAUUGGUCUGAGUGAUUAGAAAGGAGGAAAAAGUAAAACGGAAGUGGACUUGGAAUCUUUAAUGACUUACAAGUGCAUUUCAAACAGAU